UACGUAGGGGGCUAGCGUUGUCCGGAAUCAUUGGGCGUAAAGCGCGUGUAGGCGGUCCGGUAAGUCCGCUGUGAAAGUCGGGGGGCUCAACCCUCGAAUGCCGGUGGAUACUGUCGGGCUAGAGUGCGGAAGAGGCGAGUGGAAUUCCUGGUGUAGCGGUGAAAUGCGCAGAUAUCAGGAGGAACACCGAUGGCGAAGGCAGCCCCCCUGGGAUAACACUGACGCUCAUGCACGAAAGCGUGGGGAGCAAACAGG
rnacentral:rRNA from 1 species